rnacentral:rRNA from 1 species
GGCGAUCAGAUACCGCCCUAGUUCUGACCGUAAACGAUGCCAACUAGCGAUCCGCCAGUCGACUCAUCGCUCUGGUGGGGAGCUUCCCGGAAACGAAAGUCUUCCGGUUCCGGGGGAAGUAUGGUUGCAAAGCUGAAACUUAAAGGAAUUGACGGAAGGGCACCACCAGGAGUGGAGCCUGCGGCUUAAUUUGACUCAACACGGGGAAACUCACCCGGCCCGGACACCGUAAGGAUUGACAGAUUGAUAGCUUUUUCAUGAUUCGGUGGAUGGUGGUGCAUGGCCGUUCUUAGUUCGUGGAGCGAUUUGUCUGGUUUAUUCCGAUAACGAGCGAGACUCUGGCCUACUAAAUAGUUGGUACAUUGCCACUGUGUGCACAACUUCUUAGAGGGAUUUUCGGUGUUCAGCCGCACGAAAUUGAGCAAUAACAGGUCUGUGAUGCCCUUAGAUGUCCGGGGCUGCACGCGCGCUACACUGGCAAAAUCAGCGUGCUUGUCCUCCCCCGAAAGGGGUUGGUAAACCGAUGAAAAUUUGCCGUGAUUGGGAUCGGACAUUGCAAUUAUUGUCCGUGAACGAGGAAUCCCUUGUAAGGGCGAGUCAUCAACUCGUCCUGAAUACGUCCCUGCCCUUGUA